AUUGAACGCUGGCGGCAGGCCUAACACAUGAAAGUCGAGCGGUAGCACAGAGAGCUUGCUCUCGGGUGACGAGCGGCGGACGGGUGAGUAAUGUCUGGGAAACUGCCUGAUGGAGGGGGAUAACUACUGGAAACGGUAGCUAAUACCGCAUAACGUCGCAAGACCAAAGUGGGGGACCUUCGGGCCUCAUGCCAUCAGAUGUGCCCAGAUGGGAUUAGCUAGUAGGUGGGGUAAUGGCUCACCUAGGCGACGAUCCCUAGCUGGUCUGAGAGGAUGACCAGCCACACUGGAACUGAGACACGGUCCAGACUCCUACGGGAGGCAGCAGUGGGGAAUAUUGCACAAUGGGCGCAAGCCUGAUGCAGCCAUGCCGCGUGUGUGAAGAAGGCCUUCGGGUUGUAAAGCACUUUCAGCGGGGAGGAAGGCGAUAAGGUUAAUAACCUCAUCGAUUGACGUUACCCGCAGAAGAAGCACCGGCUAACUCCGUGCCAGCAGCCGCGGUAAUACGGAGGGUGCAAGCGUUAAUCGGAAUUACUGGGCGUAAAGCGCACGCAGGCGGUCUGUCAAGUCGGAUGUGAAAUCCCCGGGCUCAACCUGGGAACUGCAUUCGAAACUGGCAGGCUAGAGUCUUGUAGAGGGGGGUAGAAUUCCAGGUGUAGCGGUGAAAUGCGUAGAGAUCUGGAGGAAUACCGGUGGCGAAGGCGGCCCCCUGGACAAAGACUGACGCUCAGGUGCGAAAGCGUGGGGAGCAAACAGGAUUAGAUACCCUGGUAGUCCACGCCGUAAACGAUGUCGAUUUGGAGGUUGUGCCCUUGAGGCGUGGCUUCCGGAGCUAACGCGUUAAAUCGACCGCCUGGGGAGUACGGCCGCAAGGUUAAAACUCAAAUGAAUUGACGGGGGCCCGCACAAGCGGUGGAGCAUGUGGUUUAAUUCGAUGCAACGCGAAGAACCUUACCUGGUCUUGACAUCCACAGAACUUUCCAGAGAUGGAUUGGUGCCUUCGGGAACUGUGAGACAGGUGCUGCAUGGCUGUCGUCAGCUCGUGUUGUGAAAUGUUGGGUUAAGUCCCGCAACGAGCGCAACCCUUAUCCUUUGUUGCCAGCGGUCCGGCCGGGAACUCAAAGGAGACUGCCAGUGAUAAACUGGAGGAAGGUGGGGAUGACGUCAAGUCAUCAUGGCCCUUACGACCAGGGCUACACACGUGCUACAAUGGCAUAUACAAAGAGAAGCGACCUCGCGAGAGCAAGCGGACCUCAUAAAGUAUGUCGUAGUCCGGAUUGGAGUCUGCAACUCGACUCCAUGAAGUCGGAAUCGCUAGUAAUCGUAGAUCAGAAUGCUACGGUGAAUACGUUCCCGGGCCU
rnacentral:rRNA from 1 species